rnacentral:rRNA from 1 species
UACGUAGGGACCAAGCGUUGUUCGGAUUUACUGGGCGUAAAGGGCGCGUAGGCGGCAAUUCAAGUCAUCUGUGAAAUCUCCGGGCUUAACCCGGAACGGUCAGAUGAUACUGCUUGCUAGAGUGCGGAAGGGCAAGUCGGAAUUCUUGGUGUAGCGGUGAAAUGCGUAGAUAUCAAGAGGAACACCUGAGGUGAAGACGGGUUGCUGGGCCGACACUGACGCUGAUAGCGCGAAAGCCAGGGAGCAAACGGG